AUUGAACGCUGGCGGCAUGCUUUACACAUGCAAGUCGGACGGCAGCACAGAGAAGCUUGCUUCUUGGGUGGCGAGUGGCGAACGGGUGAGUAAUAUAUCGGAACGUACCGAGUAAUGGGGGAUAACUAAUCGAAAGAUUAGCUAAUACCGCAUAUUCUCUGAGGAGGAAAGCAGGGGACCUUCGGGCCUUGCGUUAUUCGAGCGGCCGAUAUCUGAUUAGCUAGUUGGUGGGGUAAAGGCCUACCAAGGCGACGAUCAGUAGCGGGUCUGAGAGGAUGAUCCGCCACACUGGGACUGAGACACGGCCCAGACUCCUACGGGAGGCAGCAGUGGGGAAUUUUGGACAAUGGGCGCAAGCCUGAUCCAGCCAUGCCGCGUGUCUGAAGAAGGCCUUCGGGUUGUAAAGGACUUUUGUCAGGGAAGAAAAGGCUGUUGCUAAUACCGCUAGCUGAUGAC
rnacentral:rRNA from 1 species